AUUGAACGCUGGCGGCAGGCCUAACACAUGCAAGUCGAGCGGAUGAAGGGAGCUGCUCCUGGAUUCAGCGGCGGACGGGUGAGUAAUGCCUAGGAAUCUGCCUGGUAGUGGGGGAUAACGUCCGGAAACGGGCGCUAAUACCGCAUACGUCCUGAGGGAGAAAGUGGGGGAUCUUCGGACCUCACGCUAUCAGAUGAGCCUAGGUCGGAUUAGCUAGUUGGUGGGGUAAAGGCCUACCAAGGCGACGAUCCGUAACUGGUCUGAGAGGAUGAUCAGUCACACUGGAACUGAGACACGGUCCAGACUCCUACGGGAGGCAGCAGUGGGGAAUAUUGGACAAUGGGCGAAAGCCUGAUCCAGCCAUGCCGCGUGUGUGAAGAAGGUCUUCGGAUUGUAAAGCACUUUAAGUUGGGAGGAAGGGCAGUAAGUUAAUACCCUGCUGUUUUGACGUUACCAACAGAAUAAGCACCGGCUAACUUCGUG
rnacentral:rRNA from 1 species